rnacentral:rRNA from 1 species
AACGAACGCUGGCGGCGUGCCUAACACAUGCAAGUCGAACGAGAAAGGGGCUUCGGCUCCGAGUAAAGUGGCGCACGGGUGAGUAACACGUGGGUAACCUGCCUCUAAGAUUGGGAUAACUCGUCGAAAGAUGAGCUAAUACCGAAUAAGACCACAGUUCCCGCGGGAACAGGGGUCAAAGGUAGCCUCUGCUUGCAAGCUAUCACUUAGAGAUGGGCCUGCGCACCAUUAGCUAGUUGGUAGGGUAACGGCCUACCAAGGCAAAGAUGGUUAGCUGGUCUGAGAGGAUGAUCAGCCACACUGGAAAUGAGACACGGUCCAGACUCCUACGGGAGGCAGCAGUGGGGAAUAUUGCGCAAUGGGCGAAAGCUUGACGCAGCAACGCCGCGUGAGUGAUGAAGGCCUUCGGGUCGUAAAGCUCUGUCGGGAGGAACGAAUGCUCCUGAGGUUAACAGCCUCGGGAGGUGACGGUACCUUCAAAGGAAGCACCGGCUAACUCUGUG